rnacentral:rRNA from 1 species
GCAAGUCGAACGGUCUCUCGAUCUUCGGAUCAAAGAGAUAGUGGCGAACGGGUGAGUAACACGUAAGAAACCUGCCCUUAAGUCGAGGAUAACCAUUGGAAACGAUGGCUAAUACUGGAUAGGAUAUAAGAUCACAUGAUCUAAUAUUUAAAGAUCCGUAUUGAUCGCUUUAGGAUGGUCUUGCGCAGCAUUAGCUAGAUGGUAGGGUAACGGCCUACCAUGGCGACGAUGCUUAGGUGGUCUGAGAGGAUGAAC